ACUUACCAGCCCUUGACAUGUCCGGCUCACCACAGAGAUGUGGUUUUCCCUUCGGGGACCGGAACACAGGUGCUGCAUGGCUGUCGUCAGCUCGUGUCGUGAGAUGUUGGGUUAAGUCCCGCAACGAGCGCAACCCUCGCCCUUAGUUGCCAGCAUUUAGUUGGGCACUCUAAGGGGACUGCCGGUGAUAAGCCGAGAGGAAGGUGGGGAUGACGUCAAGUCCUCAUGGCCCUUACGGGCUGGGCUACACACGUGCUACAAUGGUGGUGACAGUGGGCAGCGAAGGAGCGAUCCCGAGCUAAUCUCCAAAAGCCAUCUCAGUUCGGAUUGCACUCUGCAACUCGAGUGCAUGAAGUGGAAUCGCUAGUAAUCGCGG
rnacentral:rRNA from 1 species